GAUGAACGCUGGCGGCGUGCUUAACACAUGCAAGUCGAACGGAAAGGCCCUGCUUGCAGGGUACUCGAGUGGCGAACGGGUGAGUAACACGUGGGUGAUCUGCCCUGUACUUUGGGAUAAGCCUGGGAAACUGGGUCUAAUACCGAAUAUGACAAUUGUUUGGAUGCGAUUGUGGAAAGCUUUUGCGGUAUGGGAUGAGCUCGCGGCCUAUCAGCUUGUUGGUGGGGUAAUGGCCUACCAAGGCGUCGACGGGUAGCCGGCCUGAGAGGGUGUACGGCCACAUUGGGACUGAGAUACGGCCCAGACUCCUACGGGAGGCAGCAGUGGGGAAUAUUGCACAAUGGGCGCAAGCCUGAUGCAGCGACGCCGCGUGGGGGAUGACGGCCUUCAGGUUGUAAACUCCUUUCGCAACCGACGAAGCCUUUUGGUGACGGUAGGUUGAGAAGAAGCACCGGCUAACUACGUG
rnacentral:rRNA from 1 species